CCUACGGGGGGCAGCAGUGAGGAAUAUUGGUCAAUGGGCGUAAGCCUGAACCAGCCAAGUCGCGUGAGGGAUGAAGGUUCUAUGGAUCGUAAACCUCUUUUGUCGGGGAGCAAAAGACGCCACGCGUGGCGUUCCGAGAGUACCCGAAGAAAAAGCAUCGGCUAACUCCGUGCCAGCAGCCGCGGUAAUACGGAGGAUGCGAGCGUUAUCCGGAUUUAUUGGGUUUAAAGGGUGCGCAGGCGGAAGAUCAAGUCAGCGGUAAAAUUGAGAGGCUCAACCUCUUCGAGCCGUUGAAACUGGUUUUCUAGAGUUGGAGAGAAGUAUGCGGAAUUCGUGGUGUAGCGGUGAAAUGCAUAGAUAUCACGAAGAACUCCGAUUGCGAAGGCAGCAUACCGGCUCCAUACUGACGCUGAGGCACGAAAGCGUGGGGAUCGAACAGGAUUAGAUACCCUAGUAGUC
rnacentral:rRNA from 1 species